AGGAAAAAAUGAGAAAAAUGGGGAUUAACGAGAAACUAAUUCGAAGGAUAAAAGAGCUGUACACAGAAACAAAGAAUGUGGUGAGAAUCAAGAAUAAAAACACAGAAGAAUUUUGGACAGUGAGAGGAGUCAGACAAGGAUGCUCGUUGAGCCCGACGUUAUUCAACAUCUACGUGAUGGGGCUAGAAGAAGAAUUAAGGAAAGGACAAGUCGGAAGAGACAAGUAGUAGGAGAAAGGAAGGUAUGGUCACUGACAUAUGCAGACGAUAUUGUGCUGAUGGCUGAUAGAGAAGAACUGAAGGAGAUACUGAAGAGAUUUAAAAAAUCUUUAAAGGAAACCAAAUUGGAACUGAGCACGGAAAAGACCAAAAUGGUAGUGUUCGAAAAAAGAAAGAACAAGAAGAGACAAAAAAAAUGGAAAUGAGGAGAGCGAGAAUUAGAAGAAGUGGAAGAGAUAAGAUACUUAGCGUACAUACUACAGAAAAACGGCAGUGAUGAGAAACAUGUACAAGACAGGAAAAAGGGAGUAACAAUAGCAAUGAAGAAAACAUGAAACGUGGGAGAAAGAAUUUUCAAACAGGACUACAAGAGGAGAAUGAAGAUGUUUGGAGCACUGGUAGAGAGUGUGGCACUGUUUGGAGCAGAAAUAUGGAGCUGGAACAUAGAAGAAAGGCUGGAUAAAAUACAAAGAAGAUAUAUAAAAUAGAUCCUAGGUUUAGAUAUGUCAACACUGAAUUACAUAUUGACAGAGAAAUGCCAACUAAUAGAAAUAAAAGAAAAAGCACUAAGAAGAGCAGCAAGGUACGAAGGGAAAGCCAUAGAGUCAAAAAAGGAACUAGUAAAAGACAAGAAAGAGAAAGAAGGAACUAGAAGAGGUAAGAAAUGGAGGGACACAAAGGGAAGCAAGAGAAGAACAAGGAAGGACGACAGUAGACCAAAUUAUAGAAGAAAGGAGAAAGAGAGAAGCAAAAGAGAGGGAGGAAAAGGAUAAGGGAGUCAAAUUAUAACGAACAUUAUAGAAAAAUUGCCAAAGAGUUACCAAAAUACUUAGAAAGGAGGAUGAAGUGGAAGGACAGAAAAAUAUUAGCAAGAUUCAGAUGUGGAAACGAGACCAAAGCAAGGGAAUACUGGAAAGAA